rnacentral:rRNA from 1 species
AUUGAACGCUGGCGGCAGGCCUAACACAUGAAAGUCGAGCGAGCGGCGGACGGGUGAGUAAUGUAUGGCGACUGCCCGUUAGAGGGGGAUAACUACUGGAAACGAUGGAUAAUACCGCAUACUGUAGGAUGACCCAUAUGGGAUUGGCUAGUAGGUAAGGUAAUGGCUUACCUAGGCGACGAUCCCUAGCUGGUCUGAGAGGAUGAUCAGCCACACUGGGACUGAGACAGGGCCCAGACGCCUACGGAGGCAGCAGUGGGGAAUAUUGCACAAUGGGCGCAGGCCUGAUGCAGCCCUGCCGCGUGUAUGAAGAAGGCCCUAGGGUUGUAAAGUACUUUCAGUCGGGAGUCGUUACCGACAGAAGAAGCACCGGCUAACUCCGUGCCAGCAGCCGCGGUAAUUC